CAGUGAGGAAUCUUCCGCAAUGGGCGAAAGCCUGACGGAGCGACGCCGCGUGGUGGAUGAAGGCCCUUACGGGUCGUAAACACCUGUUCUGAGGGACGAAAUUUUUGACGGUACCUCAGGAGAAAGUAUCGGCAAACCCUGUGCCAGCAGCCGCGGUAAGACAGGGGAUACAAGCGUUACUCGGAAUUACUGGGCGUAAAGCGUCUGUAGGUGCCCAACCAAGUCUGCGGUAAAAGCUCGGGGCUUAACCCCGAGAGCGUCGCGGAAACUAGUAGGGUUGAGCAGUGGAGAGGCAUCUGGAAUGUCGCAUGUAGGAGUAAAAUCCGUAGAUAUGCGAUGGAACGCCAAAAGCGAAGGCAGGAUGCUAGCCACUUGCUGACACUGAGAGACGAAAGCGUGGGGAGCGAAGGGGAUUAGAUACCCGAGUAGUCCCUGAGCGGGCUGGCAAGGCGCAU
rnacentral:rRNA from 1 species